rnacentral:rRNA from 1 species
GAAAUGCGAUAAGUAAUGUGAAUUGCAGAAUUCAGUGAAUCAUCGAAUCUUUGAACGCAACUUGCGCCCCUUGGCAUUCCGAGGAGCAUGCCUGUUUGAGCGUCGUGU